rnacentral:sRNA from 1 species
CACGCUUUGGCUGUCUGGACUUUUAAGUUUUUCCGCUUUUUCAGGAACGCGACCGGCAGCCUCGGGCAGGGGAGACAGGACUGUAUGUCAGAGAAGAGACGGCGCUUGGACGCCAGGAAUCCUCUGAAGCAGGAGACUGCCCUAUCCAGGUUACCCUUCCCGAGGGGAAACCAGGGUCUCCUUCAGAAAGCUGAGGCAGGCCGGGCGCGGUGGCUCACGCCUGUAAUCCCAGCACUUUGGAAGACCGAGGCGGGCGGAUCACCGGAGGUCAGGAACCCCGUCUACUAAAAAUACAAAAAUUAGCCAGGCGUGUUGGCGGGCACCUGUAUUCCCAGCUACUUGGGAGGCUGAGGCAGGAGAAUUGCUUGAACCCGGGAUGCGGAGGUUGCAGUGAGCCGAGAUAGCGCCACUGCACCCCAGCCUGGGCGACAGUGAGACUCCGUCUCGAAAAAAAAAACAAAAAAAACCCCUGCUUCUGGAGCAGAAGAUGACUCAAGACCGGCCUCUGCUUGCCGUGCAGGAGGCGCUGAAGAAGUGCUUCCCCGUGGUGGAGGAGCAGCAGGGCCUGUGGCAGAGUGCCCUGCGGGACUGCCAGCCCCUCCUGUCCUCCCUCAGCAACCUGGCGGAGCAGCUGCAGGCUGCACAGAACCUGCGGUUUGAGGAUGUGCCGGCGCUUCGGGCCUUCCCAGACUUAAAAGAGCGGCUGAGGCGUAAGCAGCUGG